rnacentral:rRNA from 1 species
UGGGGAAUUUUGGACAAUGGGCGAAAGCCUGAUCCAGCAAUGCCGCGUGUGUGAAGAAGGCCUUCGGGUUGUAAAGCACUUUUGUCCGGAAAGAAAUCCUUGGCUCUAAUACAGUCGGGGGAUGACGGUACCGGAAGAAUAAGCACCGGCUAACUACGUGCCAGCAGCCGCGGUAAUACGUAGGGUGCAAGCGUUAAUCGGAAUUACUGGGCGUAAAGCGUGCGCAGGCGGUUUGCUAAGACCGAUGUGAAAUCCCCGGGCUCAACCUGGGAACUGCAUUGGUGACUGGCAGGCUAGAGUAUGGCAGAGGGGGGUAGAAUUCCACGUGUAGCAGUGAAAUGCGUAGAGAUGUGGAGGAAUACCGAUGGCGAAGGCAGCCCCCUGGGCCAAGUACUGACGCUCAUGCACGAAAGCGUGGGGAGCAAACNGGAUUAAUACCCUGGUAGUCCACGCCCUAAACGAUGUCAACUAGUUGUUGGGGAUUCAUUUCCUUAGUAACGUAGCUAACGCGUGAAGUUGACCGCCUGGGGAGUACGGUCGCAAGAUUAAAACUCAAAGAAUUGACGGGGUCAUGCUGUUUCCU